rnacentral:rRNA from 1 species
UGGGGAAUAUUGCACAAUGGGCGCAAGCCUGAUGCAGCCAUGCCGCGUGUAUGAAGAAGGCCUUCGGGUUGUAAAGUACUUUCAGCGGGGAGGAAGGUGUUGUGGUUAAUAACCACAGCAAUUGACGUUACCCGCAGAAGAAGCACCGGCUAACUCCGUGCCAGCAGCCGCGGUAAUACGGAGGGUGCAAGCGUUAAUCGGAAUUACUGGGCGUAAAGCGCACGCAGGCGGUCUGUCAAGUCGGAUGUGAAGUCCCCGAGCUCAACCUGGAAACUGCAUCCGAAACUGGCAGGCUUGAGUCUUGUAGAGGGGGGUAGAAUUCCAGGUGUAGCGGUGAAAUGCGUAGAGAGCUGGAGGAAUACCGGUGGCGAAGGCGGCCCCCUGGACAAAGACUGACGCUCAGGUGCGAAAGCGUGGGGAGCAAACA